rnacentral:piRNA from 1 species
UAGAUUCCAACAGGUUCAGGCCCCUUGUC